rnacentral:rRNA from 1 species
GCUUGUCUCAAAGAUUAAGCCAUGCAUGUCUAAGUAAAAACCACUUUUUACGGUGAAACUGCGAAUGGCUCAUUAAAUCAGUUAUAGUUUAUUUGAUAGUCUCUUACUACAUGGAUAACCGUGGUAACCCAGAGCUAAUACAUGCAUCAAAGCCUGACCCGUAAGGGGAGGGCUGUAUUUAUUAGAUAAAAAACCAAUGCCUUCGGGCUCGCUGGUGAUUCAUAAUAACUUCACGGAUCGCAUGGCCUUGUGCCGGCGACGUUUCAUUCAAAUUUCUGCCCUAUCAACUAUCGAUGGUAGGAUAGAGGCCUACCAUGGUUAUAACGGGUAACGGAGAAUUAGGGUUCGAUUCCGGAGAGGGAGCCUGAGAAACGGCUACCACAUCCAAGGAAGGCAGCAGG